AGUUUAGGAAAAAGGGUGAGAUGGCAUGGCGUGAAUUUCUCAGCGUCUCAAAAUCACUCGCUCUCUUGGCAGGCUGAUUGAAAAGCACAUCAUUCAGGACUCAUAGUCCCCGCAGGAUGAGAAAGAAUCCCCCUCCCCCCUCCCCCCUCCCCUUCCCAUCUUCCCGGUUCAUUUCAAUCCAGCUCCCCCAGAAACAGCGUUCUAGAGGCAGAAUUAUCUGCCCGCCCGGCGAUAUUGUUUUAUGAUAUCAGAGUUAAUCCAGGUCAGGUCAUCAUGCCUGAUGAAAUCUCACACUUGCCAUCCAGCCAGAAGUGACUUUUCCUUGGCAUGCGUGAAGAACAGAAGUGCAAUUUAAAAACAUGCCUGUUUCCAGAUUUCAAAUCGACUGCCGGCUGUGCUGAAAUCAACGUUCCUCUAUUGGAGGUGGUGCCUCGCCAAAUGAGCUGCAGAGUCUUAUCUGGAAAAUGAAGGUUGUGGGACGGAAGCUGUGAAACUGAUUGCAGCAGCUGUUACUGCGGCAUUGCAGGAGAGGUUAUUGACUUUUUGAAACCAUAUUGAUGACAGACCUACCUCCCCACCACCGAUUUUCUACCCAUGAACUGAGUUGAGUGCUGACCAGAAGUGCCUGUUAGCUGGAACUAAUUCAACUUUUAACUAAAUAACUGGAGGCUGCAGUGUCUAACCUCUCCCUUUCUCCCCUUCAGCAUCCAAAAGAAUUCCCAACAGAAAGUAAGGGGUGCAGGGGCACCUUUGUCAGAUCUGAUGUUUAGAAUCACAUGUAAAACCAUGAUUUACAGACCCAAUAGUUUUGUUUAAGGGAAAUGCAGAUGGGCAAGCAGGCAUGUGAAAUUCAAAGUAGCAGCCACUGCUACUUUAGGAAAGGAGUUGAGCUGAUCUUUUGCUAUUGUCACUUGAAACUGGUAAGGGAAAGCUGUUUCAGCCUGAUUUUUAAAAAUAAUUUCCAGUCAUGCCGGGGAUGCUUCCCUGCCUGGAAUCUCUGGAAUCUGAAGAAAUCAAAUUAAUAAAAAAUACUUUUCUGUUU